GUAAUACAUGGUCAUUCUCUUAGGAUUAUUAAGUCUGUUCAAGUGUUUUUCUUUAAACUAUAUUGAUGUACAUAUUACCCCUCUUUGAUAUAAAUUUUAUUCUACUUUUUGUUGGAAGAUUCGAGCAAGCUUCAAGCUGGUCAGUACAAAGUAUGCAAGCGUUCCUCAUCUCUCGAUGUUCUUAAUUCUUACUCGUUUAGUUAUGGUUUGUGUUCUUCCGUCUAGAAUUUGUUUGAUAGUUGUUAGUAU
rnacentral:misc_RNA from 1 species